UAGUGGAUGACCAUGAUGUGGUGAAGCCU
rnacentral:piRNA from 1 species